CACGUAAGGGACACGUAAGGGACUCUUGCGUCUGCGUGUCUGUGCAUGAAAACGCAGAAGCAUAAACUAGGCUUCAGACUAAAGGAGGCUGAUUUCACUGAACUUCUGAACUCCGGUUCCCCAACCAGCAGGUGAGUCCUGUUCUCCUUUCACCCAGGAGACGGAUGGACCACCAGGAGGCGACGUGAUCUACAUCUACUCCAGAGUCCUGCAGGGAUCAGAAACCUGAUAAGGAACCAAAUAAGCCACGGAGGACAGCUACGCGCUCCCCAAAGUAGGCUCCCAAUUCUACGUGUGGGCCGCUAAGUCCUCCGUCUCCAUAGUGACUCCCAGUUUGUCUCCAUGGGGACGGGUUGUCGACCUGCAGGAGAAGUCCACCAACGGCGCGCUGCCUCUGAUCGACUGCUUCCUGUUCCUGGACGGCUGCAUCACCACUUAGGCCACGCCCCCGGGUCACAUGUCCACCUUGAGUCACUUCCUCCCCAUGUCCAUACAAGGACACACUAUGGACACACCCCCCUGUUUCCACGGUGACUCCACGGUCUGUUUGUUUUUAGGAGCUCACUGACCUCGUCCCCAGUGAGUCAUCCGCCCCCCCCCCCCCCACACACACAGCUGCUACCACUGCUGCACAUCUGUUCACUGACUGUGGUUGGUAGCUGCGUCCUCUUGUCUCUACCUGUCAAGUGGACCUGGUGAGAAUGUCCACCUGCUGCUGACCGACGGCGAGAUGGUCCCAGUGAGGCUGGGAGGUGUCUGGAGAGGAACCCUGGAUGUGGUGGAGGUUCUUGCCGGCGGUUGCUCGUCGUCCUCCGUCCUGACGGAGAAGCUGUUCACUAAAACACGGUCUGAUUCUUCUGAUUGUUUGUCUUAAUGUGUUUUUUAAAGUCCCCUUUAGAAGUUAUUGCGUAAUGAACUGGAGGAGCUGCUAUGAAUCAUGUGGAGUGUGAGUAAGUUAAAAUGCUGCCAUAGAAACCGAUCUAAACUGUGAGACAAGCUGCAGCCUGCAGAGACAAAGACACUUUAGAGACUGAGACAAGCUGCAGCCUGCACAGAGACAGACAGGCUAAUGGAGCUCCUGGGUAACUUCAGAUUAAUAACUGAAGACAUUUAAAAUCUACUUCUGUGUAUUUAUGACUCAGAUUUAAUUACGUCAUAGACCUGGCAACCAAGUUCGGAGGGACGUCGCCACUCAUCAUCAACUACAACACAAUCACACUGAACUGCUGUCAUGUCAAUAAAGUUAGUUUGAAUCUGGAGACAGAAGCCACAGAACUAGACUCCUCCUCCCUACUUCAUACCUGAGACAAGGUGAGACAGGGAGGUGGGGGAGGGACGGAGAGAGAGGAGAGGGGGAGGAGGGACGGCAGCUAAGGGAGAGUUGAGUAGGAGGAGGAGAGCAGCAGAAACCGGCUACAACGGACCCACCUGGACCCACCUGGACCCACCUGGACUCAUCUGGACCCACCUGGACUCACCUGGAAUCUGCCAGCCAGGUGAGCUCGGCAGAAUUCUCCCACACAAACAGUUUAACUGUGACUGUGUUCCACACAGCUGACUGUAGACUGAAGGUCCUCUGCAGAAGAUUCAACGUAGAUCCUUGUUGAGCUGUGAGGAACCCUCUAAGAAAGACUUACAGUUUCCGGAUUGUCGUGACCAUUAUUCUGUUAGAACCCGGCAGGUCGUCUAUUCGUGCUUUUCUGGGUACCCAAAGACGCCUUUUUAUUUCAUAUCUCUGUAGUUUCUCGUGUUUAGCGACAUGUGAAGCAACGUCAACCUGCAGAACGCUGUCUUCUGCAUCCGAUUCACUGCUUCCACAGUCGGCUCUCUGUUAUUGAGCUGAUUACUCAACGCUUCGGUAAAAACAAACAACAUUUAAAC